rnacentral:rRNA from 1 species
UGGGGAAUAUUGGACAAUGGGCGCAAGCCUGAUCCAGCCAUGCCGCGUGAGUGAUGAAGGCCUUAGGGUUGUAAAGCUCUUUUAUCCGGGACGAUAAUGACGGUACCGGAGGAAUAAGCCCCGGCUAACUUCGUGCCAGCAGCCGCGGUAAUACGAAGGGGGCUAGCGUUGCUCGGAAUCACUGGGCGUAAAGGGCGCGUAGGCGGCGUUUUAAGUCGGGGGUGAAAGCCUGUGGCUCAACCACAGAAAUGGCCUUCGAUACUGGGACGCUUGAGUAUGGUAGAGGUUGGUGGAACUGCGAGUGUAGAGGUGAAAUUCGUAGAUAUUCGCAAGAACACCGGUGGCGAAGGCGGCCAACUGGACCAUUUACUGACGCUCAGGUGCGAAAGCGUGGGGAGCAAAACA